GUAUCCUCUCAGGCCUAUUGUCUGAGCUCAAGUGUAGUAUCUGCUCUUUCUAGCGUGACAGCUAGAAGGAUCCCCAUCGGGGGGCCCUGUCUGUCAUUGAAUCUUCGGACCCUUGACGAGGACGCUUGGGGCUUGCUCCAAGUUCUGUCGCGGAUGUCGCUCGUAUUGCACUGUCUCGAGCUGACGUCCAUGGACC
rfam:Gonapodya prolifera JEL478 unplaced genomic scaffold M427scaffold_162, whole genome shotgun sequence.